GAUGAACGCUGGCGGCGUGCCUAAUACAUGCAAGUCGAGCGAACAGACGAGGAGCUUGCUCCUCUGACGUUAGCGGCGGACGGGUGAGUAACACGUGGAUAACCUACCUAUAAGACUGGGAUAACUUCGGGAAACCGGAGCUAAUACCGGAUAAUAUAUUGAACCGCAUGGUUCGAUAGUGAAAGACGGUUUUGCUGUCACUUAUAGAUGGAUCCGCGCCGCAUUAGCUAGUUGGUAAGGUAACGGCUUACCAAGGCAACGAUGCGUAGCCGACCUGAGAGGGUGAUCGGCCACACUGGAACUGAGACACGGUCCAGACUCCUACGGGAGGCAGCAGUAGGGAAUCUUCCGCAAUGGGCGAAAGCCUGACGGAGCAACGCCGCGUGAGUGAUGAAGGUCUUCGGAUCGUAAAACCCUGUUAUUAGGGAAGAACAAAUGUGUAAGUAACUAUGCACGUCUUGACGGUACCUAAUCAGAAAGCCACGGCUAACUACGUG
rnacentral:rRNA from 1 species